GAUCUGGAACUAGAAGACCUUGGCGACGGUGGAUCCGAGACAACAACGCAGAUCUGAGGUGGAGGAUAAACGAAACAGGAAUAGAGAUGCGGUUUGAAUGAGUGUAGGAUGGACGGCGGUGGCAAGGCCUAUGGAGGCGGUGGUCGAUAAUGGAGGAAAAUGAGUUCCAUUACAGUGACGGAGAGAAAUGUAUUUUCUGAAGAUCCAAAUCUCAACAAAGGAAAAAUUUUUUUUUUUUUUU
rnacentral:lncRNA from 1 species